CGCACAUUGCGCCCUUUGGUAUUCCGAGGGGCAUGCCUGUUCGAGCGUCAUUUCAACCCUCAAGCUCAGCUUGGUCUUGGGCCCUGCCGGUAACGGCUGGCCUUAAACAUAGUGGCGGUGCUCUUCAGCUCUACGCGUAGUAAUUUUACCCUCGCGAUUGAGUUGGUGGGGCUACUAGCCAGCAACCCUCAUUUUUUUCUGGUUGACCUCGGAUCAGGUAGGGAUACCCGCUGAACUUAA
rnacentral:misc_RNA from 1 species